rnacentral:lncRNA from 1 species
CUAAUCCUGGACCCAUCCUUCACGAUUCCAUCAACACCAUCUUCGUCUCCUAAUGAUUCUUCCAGUGAAAGUUUUCAGAUAUUGAGUCAGAGAGAUAUUAAAGGAACGGUGGCUAGGGGAAUAUGCAUCACAAGGAAUAGAAAAAAUAAAAUAAAAUAUAAUAAUAAAUGCAAGUGAAACGACAACUACAAGGUCGUUUCCUUCCAAUACAGUCUGCAACCCUUGAUUUCUUUCACGGCACGGACGGCGAUUAACCUUCACCCGCCGCCGUGUUCGCCAUGACCGCAGCCGAAGAAUUAUCAUCGUAUCCUCCAAUUGAUCCAGUCAACUUCGAUCUCAUCAUUGUCGGAACCGGCCUUUCGGAAUCUAUCAUCGCCGCUGCCGCAUCGGCCGU